CCUACGGGAGGCUGCAGUGAGGAAUAUUGGUCAAUGGACGAGAGUCUGAACCAGCCAAGUAGCGUGAAGGAUGAAUGCCCUAUGGGUUGUAAACUUCUUUUAUAUGGGAAUAAAAUGUUCCACGUGUGGGAUUUUGUAUGUACCAUAUGAAUAAGGAUCGGCUAACUCCGUGCCAGCAGCCGCGGUAAUACGGAGGAUCCGAGCGUUAUCCGGAUUUAUUGGGUGUAAAGGGAGCGUAGGUGGAUUGUUAAGUCAGUUGUGAAAGUUUGCGGCUCAACCGUAAAAUUGCAGUUGAGACUGGCAGGCUGGAGUACAGUAGAGGUGGGCGGAAUUCGUGGUGUAGCGGUGAAAUGCUUAGAUAUCACGAAGAACUCCGAUUGCGAAGGCAGCUCACUGGACUGCAACUGACACUGAGGCUCGAAAGUGUGGGUAUCAAACAGGAUUAGAUACCCCAGUAGUC
rnacentral:rRNA from 1 species